AUUGAACGCUGGCGGCAUGCCUUACACAUGCAAGUCGAACGGUAACAGGUCUUCGGAUGCUGACGAGUGGCGAACGGGUGAGUAAUACAUCGGAACGUGCCCAGACGUGGGGGAUAACGAGGCGAAAGCUUUGCUAAUACCGCAUACGAUCCAAGGAUGAAAGCAGGGGACCGCAAGGCCUUGUGCGUUUGGAGCGGCCGAUGGCAGAUUAGGUAGUUGGUGGGAUAAAAGCUUACCAAGCCGACGAUCUGUAGCUGGUCUGAGAGGACGACCAGCCACACUGGGACUGAGACACGGCCCAGACUCCUACGGGAGGCAGCAGUGGGGAAUUUUGGACAAUGGGCGAAAGCCUGAUCCAGCAAUGCCGCGUGCAGGAUGAAGGCCUUCGGGUUGUAAACUGCUUUUGUACGGAACGAAAAGGCUCUGGCUAAUACCUGGGGCACAUGACGGUACCGUAAGAAUAAGCACCGGCUAACUACGUGCCAGCAGCCGCCGUAAGAC
rnacentral:rRNA from 1 species